GUAUACAAUUUGCCUUGUACUGGAGGAUAGCCCGGAGAAAUUCGGAUUAAUACUCCAUAGUAUUUACGAAUCGCAUGAUUUGUAUCUUAAAGUUUCGGCGGUACAAGAUAAGUAUGCGUCCUAUUAGCUAGAUGGUAAGGUAACGGCUUACCAUGGCAACGAUAGGUAGGGGGCCUGAGAGGGUUAUCCCCCACACUGGUACUGAGACACGGACCAGACUCCUACGGGAGGCAGCAGUGAGGAAUAUUGGUCAAUGGAGGCAACUCUGAACCAGCCAUGCCGCGUGAAGGAAGAAUGUCCUACGGAUUGUAAACUUCUUUUAUUUGGGAAGAAACCCCUCUACGUGUAGAGGGCUGACGGUACCAAACGAAUAAGGACCGGCUAACUCCGUGCCAGCAGCCGCGGUAAUACGGAGGGUCCAAGCGUUAUCCGGAAUCAUUGGGUUUAAAGGGUUCGCAGGCGGUGAUUUAAGUCAGUGGUGAAAUCCCAUAGCUCAACUAUGGAACUGCCAUUGAUACUGAAUCACUUGAAUAUAGUUGGAGUAGGCGGAAUGUGUAGUGUAGCGGUGAAAUGCUUAGAUAUUACACAGAACACCGAUAGCGAAGCAGCUUACUAAACUAUUAUUGACGCUCAUGAACGAAAGCGUGGGGAGCGAACAGGAUUAGAUACCCUGGUAGUCCACGCCGUAAACUAUGAUUACUCGAUAUUGGCGAUACACUGUCAGUGUCUAAGCGAAAGUGAUAAGUAAUCCACCUGGGGAGUACGUUGGCAACAAUGAAACUCAAAGGAAUUGACGGGG
rnacentral:rRNA from 1 species